rnacentral:lncRNA from 1 species
UCCUCCUCUCAAGAUUUGUAUUUGGUUGCUACAUAAUUAGUUUGUGAGAUGUAUAUUACGUGGCCAUAGCAUAUAUAUUGAUGAACAUCGUAUUUUAAAAGUUAUAUUAAUUUACUUGAAGAUGUGUAUUAAGUUAUUGUUAGGUAUGCAUCAAAGAAGCAUAUAGUAUGUAUUAGGAUGCUGACGAGUGUGCAUCACUUGAUCAUGUACUAUACAGUGAUGAAUAUGAUAUUUUAAAAAUUAUGUAUCGAUUUAUUUGAAGAUAUAUAUUAGAUGACUAAUAUGUAAGGUAUGUAUUGUCUAAUCAUAUACUGUAUACUCAUAAAUACUAUAUUUUAGAAGUUGUAUAUUGUUUUACUUGUAGCUAUAUAUUGGUUCGUUGAUUUGUAUAUAUCAAAGAAGAUUAAAGCAUGUACAAGCAAACCGUCAAGUGUAUAAUAACCUCAAAUUCCGUAUGACAUAAUUCUAAGUUUCGUAUUUGGCAAGGUAUUCAAAACUUUUGCAAUUCUUGAAAUAACGCUGCCAUCUUCAUUUCAAUCAAAAGCCCUAGGGGCUGAUGGAGGAGGAAAAUCCCACAAACAGAUGGAGAGAGGCUUGACCCGGAA